rnacentral:rRNA from 1 species
UUUCCGGUUGAUCCUGCCGGANCUGACUGCUAUCGGAUUGAUACUAAGCCAUGCGAGUCUUUGUAGUAAUACAAGGCAGACGGCUCAGUAACACGUAGUCAAUCUACCCUAUGGACGGGGAUAACCUCGGGAAACUGAGAAUAAUACCCGACAGAUCGUAAUGCCUGGAAUGGUUUAUGGUUCAAAUGAUUUUUCGCCAUAGGAUGGGACUGCGGUCUAUCAGCUUGUUGGUGAGGUAAUGGCCCACCAAGGCUAUAACAGAUACGGGCUCUGAGAGGAGAAGCCCGGAGAUGGGUACUGAGACACGGACCCAGGUCCUAUGGGGCGCAGCAGGCGAGAAAACUUUGCAAUGUGCGAAAGCACGACAAGGUUAAUCCGAGUGUUUUCUGCUAAAGAAAUCUUUUGUUAGUUCUAAAACCACUAUCGAAUAAGGGGUGGGCAAGUUCUGGUGUCAGCCGCCGCGGUAAAACCAGCACCUCAAGUGGUCAGGAUGAUUAUUGGGGCCUAAAGCAUCCGUAGCCGGCUAUGUUAGUUUUCGGUUAAAUCCAUGUGCUCAACGCAUGGGCUGUCGAGAAUACUACAUAGCUAGGGAGUGGGAGAGNUAGACGGUACUCUGUAGGAAGGGGUAAAAUCCUUUGAUCUAUAGAUGACCACCAGUGGCGAAGGCGGUCUACCAGAACACGUCCGACGGUGAGGGAUGAAAGCUGGGGGAGCAAACCGGAUUAGAUACCCGGGUAGUCCCAGCUGUAAACUAUGCAAACUCAGUGAUGCAUUGGCUUGUGGCCAGUGCAGUGCCGCAGAGAAGUCGUUAAGUUUGCCGCCUGGGAAGUACGUACGCAAGUAUGAAACUUAAAGGAAUUGGCGGGGGAGCACCACAAGGGGUGAAGCCUGCGGUUCAAUUGGAGUCAACGCCGGGA